GGACUACUAGGGUUUCUAAUCCUGUUUGCUCCCCACGCUUUCGAGCCUCAACGUCAGUAAUCGUCCAGUAAGUCGCCUUCGCCACUGGUGUUCCUCCUAAUAUCUACGCAUUUCACCGCUACACUAGGAAUUCCACUUACCUCUCCGACACUCUAGUUCACCAGUUUCCAAUGCAGUCUCGAGGUUGAGCCCCGAGUUUUCACAUCAGACUUAACAAACCGUCUACGCUCCCUUUACACCCAGUAAAUCCGGAUAACGCUUGCCCCCUACGUAUUACCGCGGCUGCUGGCAC
rnacentral:rRNA from 1 species